rnacentral:rRNA from 1 species
UACGGAGGGGGCUAGCGUUGUUCGGAAUUACUGGGCGUAAAGCGCACGUAGGCGGCUUUGUAAGUUAGAGGUGAAAGCCCAGGGCUUAACCCUGGAAUUGCCUUUAAGACUGCAUCGCUAGAAUCGUGGAGAGGUGAGUGGAAUCCCGAGUGUAGCGGUGAAAUGCAUAGAUAUCGUCAAGAACACCGAUAGCGAAGGCAGCCAACUAGGGGUUAACUGACGCUGAGGCACGAAGUGCGGGGA